GAGAGCAUAGUACAACGGAGAGUUGUAUGCUGCGUUUGGAAAGGAUGAAUCGCUCCCGAAAAGGAAUCUAUUGGUUCUCUCCCAAUUGGUUGGACCGUAAGUGCGAUGAUUUACUUCAC
rfam:Capsicum annuum cultivar Zunla-1 chromosome 2, whole genome shotgun sequence